AACGAAUGCUGGCGGCAGGCCUUACACAUGCAAGCCGAACGUGAAAGUCCUUCGGGAUGAGUAAAGUGGCGCACGGGUGAGUAACGCGUGGGAACAUGCCCUUCAGUACGGGAUAACAGCGGGAAACUGCUGCUAAUACCGUAUAUUCCCUACGGGGGAAAGAUUUAUCGCUGAAGGAUUGGCCCGCGUUAGAUUAGCUAGUUGGUGAGGUAAUGGCUCACCAAGGCUACGAUCUAUAGCCGGUCUGAGAGGACGAUCGGCCACACUGGAACUGAGACACGGUCCAGACUCCUACGGGAGGCAGCAGUGGGGAAUAUUGGACAAUGGGCGAAAGCCUGAUCCAGCCAUGCCGCGUGAGUGAUGAAGGCCUUAGGGUUGUGAAGCUCUUUUGGCGGGGAAGAUAAUGACGGUACCCGCAGAAUAAGCCCCGGCUAACUUCGUGCCAGCCGCGCCGUAA
rnacentral:rRNA from 1 species